GACGGAGGAUGCAAGUGUUAUCCGGAAUCACUGGGCGUAAAGCGUCUGUAGGUUGUUUAAUAAGUCAACUGUUAAAUCUUGGGGCCCAACCUCAAAAUCGCAGUCGAAACUAUUAGACUUGAGUAUAGUAGAGGUAAAGGGAAUUUCCAGUGGAGCGGUGAAAUGCGUAGAGAUUGGAAAGAACACCAAUGGCGAAGGCACUUUACUGGGCUAUUACUGACACUCAGAGACGAAAGCUAGGGUAGCAAAUGGG
rnacentral:rRNA from 1 species